AUUGAACGCUGGCGGCAUGCCUUACACAUGCAAGUCGAACGGCAGCACGGGAGCAAUCCUGGUGGCGAGUGGCGAACGGGUGAGUAAUAUAUCGGAACGUGCCCAGUCGUGGGGGAUAACGUAGCGAAAGCUACGCUAAUACCGCAUACUAUCUAUGGAUGAAAGCGGGGGAUCGCAAGACCUCGCGCGAUUGGAGCGGCCGAUAUCAGAUUAGGUAGUUGGUGAGGUAAAGGCUCACCAAGCCGACGAUCUGUAGCUGGUCUGAGAGGACGACCAGCCACACUGGGACUGAGACACGGCCCAGACUCCUACGGGAGGCAGCAGUGGGGAAUUUUUGGACAAUGGGCGCAAGCCUGAUCCAGCAAUGCCGCGUGCAGGAUGAAGGCCU
rnacentral:rRNA from 1 species